AAGUGAAAUUAUGACAAUCAUGUUUGGAACCAAUCUGAAAUGAAGAGAAUACUCAUUGCCAAUCACUU